rnacentral:misc_RNA from 1 species
AACUAGCCCCGAUUGAAGCGGUUACCCCGGAACAUGCCUUGGAAAAUGCAGCGGCGUGAGGCGUAUGAGCGGAAAGCGGGAAUCAGC